rnacentral:rRNA from 1 species
GAUGAACGCUGGCGGCGUGCCUAAUACAUGCAAGUCGAGCGAACAGACGAGGAGCUUGCUCCUCUGACGUUAGCGGCGGACGGGUGAGUAACACGUGGAUAACCUACCUAUAAGACUGGGAUAACUUCGGGAAACCGGAGCUAUACCGGAUAAUAUAUUGAACCGCAUGGUUCAAUAGUGAAAGACGGUUUUGCUGUCACUUAUAGAUGGAUCCGCGCCGCAUUAGCUAGUUGGUAAGGUAACGGCUUACCAAGGCAACGAUGCGUAGCCGACCUGAGAGGGUGAUCGGCCACCCUGGGACUGAGACACGGUCCAGACUCCUACGGGAGGCAGCAGUAGGGAAUCUUGCGCAAUGGGCGAAAGCCUGACGGAGCAACGCCGCGUGAGUGAUGAAGGUCUUCGGAUCGUAAAACUCUGUUAUUAGGGAAGAACAAAUGUGUAAGUAACUAUGCACGUCUUGACGGUACCUAAUCAGAAAGCCACGGCUAACUACGUG